CAAUAGCGUAUACUAAUGUUGUUGCAGUUAAAAAGCUCGUAGUUGAACUUCUGGUAGGAGUGUCCCGGCCUUUUUGUUUUUACAAAUUGUAUGCUGUGUGACAUCUCUGGCCAUCCUUCUUCUUUGUUUAAAGAAGAUCUUUCACUGUAAAAAAAUUAGGGUGUUCAAAGCAAAAGUUUCUUUGGAAUAUAUUAGUAUGGGAUGAUAAGAUAGGCUCUAGAUACUAUUUUGUUGGUUUGCACAUUUAGAGAAUGAUUAACAGGGACAGUUGGGGGUAUUCGUAUUUACAUGUCAGAGGUGAAAUUCUUGGAUUUUGGAAAGACGAACUACUGCGAAAGCAUUUACCAAGGAUGUUUUCAUUAA
rnacentral:rRNA from 1 species